rnacentral:rRNA from 1 species
GAUGAACGCUAGCGGCAGGCUUAACACAUGCAAGUCGAGGGGUAUGCUUCUUCGGAAGCAGAGACCGGCGCACGGGUGCGUAACGCGUAUGCAAUCUACCUUUUACAGAGGGAUAGCCCAGAGAAAUUUGGAUUAAUACCUCAUAGUAUUAUAGAAUGGCAUCAUUUUAUAAUUAAAGUCACAACGGUAAAGAUGAGCAUGCGUCCCAUUAGCUAGUGGUAAGGUAACGGCUUACCAAGGCUACGAUGGGUAGGGGUCCUGAGAGGGAGAUCCCCACACUGGUACUGAGACACGGACCAGACUCCUACGGGAGGCAGCAGUGAGGAAUAUUGGACAAUGGGCGCAA